UCGGCGCAGUAGCAGCGAGCAGCAGAGUCCGCACGCUCCGGCGAGGGGCAGAAGAGCGCGAGGGAGCGCGGGGCAGCAGAAGCGAGAGCCGAGCGCGGACCCAGCCAGGACCCACAGCCCUCCCCAGCUGCCCAGGAAGAGCCCCAGCCAUGGAACACCAGCUCCUGUGCUGCGAAGUGGAAACCAUCCGCCGCGCGUACCCCGAUGCCAACCUCCUCAACGACCGGGUGCUGCGGGCCAUGCUGAAGGCGGAGGAGACCUGCGCGCCCUCGGUGUCCUACUUCAAAUGUGUGCAGAAGGAGGUCCUGCCGUCCAUGCGGAAGAUCGUCGCCACCUGGAUGCUGGAGGUCUGCGAGGAGCAGAAGUGCGAGGAGGAGGUCUUCCCGCUGGCCAUGAACUACCUGGACCGCUUCCUGUCGCUGGAGCCCGUGAAGAAGAGCCGACUGCAGCUGCUAGGGGCCACUUGCAUGUUCGUGGCCUCUAAGAUGAAGGAGACCAUCCCCCUGACGGCCGAGAAGCUAUGCAUCUACACCGACAACUCCAUCCGGCCCGAGGAGCUGCUGCAAAUGGAGCUGCUCCUGGUGAACAAGCUCAAGUGGAACCUGGCCGCCUUGACCCCGCACGAUUUCAUUGAACACUUCCUCUCCAAAAUGCCAGAGGCGGAGGAGAACAAACAGAUCAUCCGCAAACACGCGCAGACCUUCGUUGCCCUCUGUGCCACAGGUAGGGCAGGCCCGGCAGCCCCCGGCCUCCCCUUGACAGCCGGCUCCUUAGGUGACCCUGGCCGGCUUCUUGCUCUCCACCUGGGUGCUGUCUGGGAAGAUGUCCCCAGGCCCCCUCCUGCGCUGGAAAGCGCUCUUCCAGCUCUGGUGAGCAGAGGCCCUGGAUUGUUUGUCGCGCUGGAUGGAGGGGGAUUUGCU
rnacentral:sRNA from 1 species